GACGAACGCUGGCGGCGUGCUUAACACAUGCAAGUCGAACGGUGAAGCUCCAGCUUGCUGGAGUGGAUCAGUGGCGAACGGGUGAGUAACACGUGAGCAACCUGCCCCUGACUCUGGAAUAAGCGCUGGAAACGGCGUCUAAUACUGGAUACGAGAAGGGUCCGCAUGGGCACUUUCUGGAAAGUUUUUCGGUUGGGGAUGGGCUCGCGGCCUAUCAGCUUGUUGGUGAGGUAAUGGCUCACCAAGGCGACGACGGGUAGCCGGCCUGAGAGGGCGACCGGCCACGCUGGGACUGAGACACGGCCCAGACUCCUACGGGAGGCAGCAGUGGGGAAUAUUGCACAAUGGGCGAAAGCCUGAUGCAGCGACGCCGCGUGAGGGAUGACGGCCUUCGGGUUGUAAACCUCUUUCAGCAGGGAAGAAGCGAAAGUGACGGUACCUGCAGAAGAAGCACCGGCUAACUACGUG
rnacentral:rRNA from 1 species